rnacentral:tRNA from 2 species
GCCCUCGUAGCUCAGGGGAUAGAGCAUUCGCCUCCUAAGCGAAGGGUCGCGCGUUCGAUUCGCGCCGAGGGUGCCA